CAGAGUUGCAAAACUCCCACAAACCAUCGCGAAUCUUACCCGUACGGUUGCCUCGGCGCUGGCGGUCCGGAAGGCCCUCGGGCCCCCGGAUCCUCGGGUCUCCCGCUCGCGGGAGGCUGCCCGCCGGAGUGCCGAAACCAAACUCUUGAUAUCUUAUGUCUCUCUGAGUACACUUUUAAAUAAGUCA
rnacentral:misc_RNA from 1 species